UAACCAUGGUGAGGGCAUUGAAUAAGCAACAGUUUGAACCUCUCCCAUGCCUCAUGGAAAGGCUCGCCUUCAGCUUGCGAGAAAUUUGCAAUUUUUCUUCUUAAUUCA
rnacentral:snoRNA from 1 species